UUAAUUUUCAUAGUUUUGUUAUUUUGAAGAUUAUACUUUUAAAAUUAUACGAUAUAAUUAGAAUACGAAGAAUUAUAAUAAUGCAGAAAUAUUUAAAUUCAUAAUAAUUUUGGUGUUUAAAUAUAUUGAUAAACAUUCGUAAUAAUAAUAAUAAUAAUAAUCCAUUUUAAAUAUAUCUUGUUCUAAAAUAAGAUUUAAUUGUCUAUAUUAAUGUUAUUUAACUAUAUUACGUGGAAAUCGACAAUGUGGAAUUUAUAAUGGUCUAAUCUCGUGAUUUGUCUUGUAAAAACAAAUUCUAUGACGCAGUGUUUAAAGAAUCAUGUGGAUAAAGAAAAUUCAUCAAUUCCGAAGCACACGUAACCUUAUUACGGACACGAUUGCCUUAAUUUUUUUCUGUAGAAGAUAAAAUCGAGAUAAAGGUCGAAAGAUCCGUGGAUUUGUUCAAUUGUCAUUAAUAAAUGCAAAAAUUUGUAAUGUAAUGUCAUCUCGUGUUUCAUUAGAAUCCAUUGCAUGCAUUGAAUCCAUAGAAUCCAUAGAAUGCAUUGUAUUUUCUUGUAAAAGUGGUGAAGAAAGUUUUGACUCUAGUGUUCUUAAAUGUCGUGUAAGUUUUCAUAAAAUCAUAAAAUUAAAAAUUAACCUCUAUAUAUAUUAUUGGAAUAAGUCAAAUGUUAACAUCUGACUUUUAUGUAAUAAAUAUAUAAAUAUUUUUUUGUUUUUUUUAUAAGGAAAAAAUUCAUCCAAUAUGCCUGUCUGACACUGCACACUGUCAGAAUACACAGGCAGCCUUAAAAUGUUAUGCAGAAGCAUGACUUUACAGCUAUUCUAUUCUAUCAUUUUUAAAUAUACAAGAAGAAGAAUUUAGUUGUGAAUAUUAAUUUAGAUGAAAAUGAUUUAAGUAUAUCAAAAGAACAUUAAUAUCAAUGUAUCAUGUAACAAGAUGAACGAGAUAAAAUAGUAAGUAUUGGUAAGAAGAUUGAUAUGAAAUAUAUGAUAAAAAAAAUGCUUUCCAAUAAAGACUCUCCAAUAUUUUUAAUUAAUUUUAUAGUUAUUAUUGAAUUAGUUAAAUUAAUUAUUUGACUUUAUCAAUGAACUUUAUCAAUUUGAUUAUCAGCAAAUUUAAUUUCAGGACAUUUAAUUUUAACAUUAUUAGGUAUUUUUAUUAGAAAUUUUAUUGCAAUAAUUCCAAUUAAUUUAUUAAUUCAAAAUACAUUAUUAACUUUAGAAAUUUUUAUAUCAAUUAUUCAAUGAUAUGUAUUUUCAAUUUUCUUAAUUUUAUAUUUUUCAGAAUCAAAUGAAUUUUAAUUAAUAAAUAAUGAAGAAAAA